rnacentral:pre_miRNA from 1 species
AAGUAAGGCAAUCUAUCUUUAAGUAGGGGUAAAUUACUCUUAAAAAGGGGAAAAAAAAGGAACCCUAUGUAGUUUUCCCUUCAAAUCAAGUGUCUUGU